UGGGGUCCCUCCCUUAAGUUUGCCUGAAGAGU
rnacentral:piRNA from 1 species